rnacentral:rRNA from 1 species
GGAGGAAAAGAAACCAACAGGGAUUGCCUCAGUAACGGCGAGUGAAGCGGCAAAAGCUCAAAUUUGAAAUCUAGCACUUUCAGUGUUCGAGUUGUAAUUUGAAGAAGGUAACUUUGGUUUUGGCUCUUGUCUAUGUUCCUUGGAACAGGACGUCACAGAGGGUGAGAAUCCCGUGCGAUGAGAUGCCCAAUUCCAUGUAAAGUGCUUUCGAAGAGUCGAGUUGUUUGGGAAUGCAGCUCUAAGUGGGUGGUAAAUUCCAUCUAAAGCUAAAUAUUGGCGAGAGACCGAUAGCGAACAAGUACAGUGAUGGAAAGAUGAAAAGAACUUUGAAAAGAGAGUGAAAAAGUACGUGAAAUUGUUGAAAGGGAAGGGCUUGAGAUCAGACUUGGUAUUUUGCGUUCCCUUCCUUUUUGGUUGGGUUCCUCGCAGUUUACUGGGCCAGCAUCGGUUUGGAUGGUAGGAUAAUGACAUUGGAAUGUAGCUUUACUUCGGUGAAGUGUUAUAGACUUUGUUGAUACUGCCUAUCUAGACCGAGGACUGCGUCUUUGACUAGGAUGCUGGCGUAAUGAUCUUAAGCCGCCCGUCUUGAAACACGGACCA